GAGCUAUGAUGAUAAUUGUGUCUAUUGUGGUGACGGGUUCAUCACUAACGUCUACUUCGGUGGCGAAAAACGGCACAUCUGAGCUC
rfam:Cicer arietinum chromosome Ca3, whole genome shotgun sequence.